UUUCCUGUUUGACCACCACAUUCUCUCCAAAUCACAGACAUUAGUGGCUCUGCUUGUGGGGUAGAUUAGUCUUGUCAUGGUCUCAUAGAGGACUGAACUGUGCCAUCACCUCACAUGGAGUGGUUCCAGCCAGAGGG
ensembl:snoRNA